GGAUGAUCCCAGGAAUGGGGAAGGUAUAAAGGCUGCUUUUCCAGUUCUUCAUUAUAAUUAUGUUUGCUGGCGAGUAAAAGAUGCAUCAUGCUUCAGUUUUUGUAUCACUUAUAGAAGUAAUUAUACCAGCAGCAUUUUAGCGUCCAUUUUUCUGGUUCAAAAUAUGAACCCAAAUGAUGAAAUUGCUUAGAAAUAGCUUGUUUGUCAAUUACUUUGAACUCCAUAGACUAUUGGAAGAAGCUUCAAAUAACUUUCCUAUGAAAACAGAUUACUCCUGCACAAAUUCGAGAAGCGGAAAAGAGUUUGAAGAUAAUGGAAGCAAUGAUUGAAGCAAUGACUCCUGAGGAAAGAGAGAAGC
rnacentral:misc_RNA from 1 species